rnacentral:rRNA from 1 species
CCUACGGGGGACAGCAGUGGGGAAUAUUGCACAAUGGGGGAAACCCUGAUGCAGCGACGCCGCGUGAGUGAAGAAGUAUCUCGGUAUGGAAAGCUCUUUCAGUAGGGAAGAAGAAAGACGGUACCUGACUAAGAAGCCCCGGCUAACUACGUGCCAGCAGCCGAGGUAAUACGUAGGGGCCAAGCGUUAUCCGGAUUUACUGGGUGUAAAGGGAGCGUAGACGGCUGUGUAAGUCUGAAGUGAAAGCCCAGGGCUCAACCCUGGGACUGCUUUGGAAACUGGGGAGCUAGAGUACUGGGGAGGUAAGUGGAAUUCCUGGUGUAGCGGUGAAAUGCGUAGAUAUUAGGAAGAACACCGAUGGCGAAGGCAGCUUACUAGACAGUAACUGACGUUGAGGCUCGAAAGCGUGGGGAGCAAACAGGAUUAGAUACCCGAGUAGUC